GAUAAAAAAAACACAGUUUGUGUAUUUCUAAUAAGGAGCUGGAGGCCGUGAAGAAACAGAUCCAUGAUAUUGUGGAGAAGCAGGCCCCGCUGAGCAAGUGGAGGGCUGUGCUGGAAAUAUUCAGGGGUUGAUGCUCAUAAGUCCAGGUGUAAGACAUGAACCAGGCCCUGGGCGACGACCUCUCUCCAUCCGCCGCCUCCGGUCUUCAGGAUCUCCACCAGAACCUGAUUCGCUCCACUUCGCGAGACAGAACACAACGCUGUGAUCAUCGGAGACUCCAUCGUCCGGCACGUUCGUGCUAUGUUAGCUGAAGGUAAAGUCCA